AUUUCAUGUUAUCCUUCAAGUCAUGCAAACAGGAAUGGAAGACGAAACCUUCAUUUUCACCGAUUCGAGGAGACCGUGAAAGAUCCCAAGCAUGGUGGAAAAUUGUCAACAGGUCGGAUUUGCUUAGGAAGACCUGCCAGCAACUAAGUAACACCUACAAGAUACGUUUAGAUACUUUGAAGCCGGGUUGUCUAUGAAUCCCACAUCUCCACGCCUGAUGCAUACAGCAGCCUUAAAUAUAUCGCAUGCUUAGGAGGGAGGGAUACAAGGUGCAUUUGCUACUAUGGUGUGUUGAGACUACACCCACUAAUGCUGCUAACACCAUCAUCGAUGCCAACACGACAGUGCUGCCCCACCACCUCCAUCUUGUGAUAGCACCUCCAUACCAGUGCAUAGAUUUUAUCCACAUGUCUGAGCUGAGUUGAAAAACCAGAAUCUGCGCAGGAGAAGAGACGGUAUAUUUGAUCCCAGGAAUAACAAUGAUAGUUUGCAAAUGCAAGCAAAAAAGUAGAACGGUGAAAACCAAAUUACAAGAAAUUAGAAACGCGCCGCUAAACAGACUCAAGUGUAAGUGUUCAAUGAAAUUUCUA